CAAUAGCGUAUAUUAAAGUUGUUGCGGUUAAAAAGCUCGUAGUUGGAUUUCUGCUGAAAACGACCGGUCCGCCCUCUGGGUGAGUAUCUGGCUCGGCUUUGGCAUCUUCUUGGUGAACGUUGCUGCGCUUCACUGCGUGGUGCGGUAUCUACGACUUUUACUUUGAGGAAAUUAGAGUGUUCACGGCAGGCAAUCGCCUUGAAUAUAUUAGCAUGGAAUAAUAACAUAGGAUCUUUGUCCUAUUUUGUUGGUUUCUAGGGCUGAGAUAAUGAUUAAUAGGGAUAAUUGGGGGCAUCUGUAUCAACGCGUCAGAGGUGGAAUUCUUGGAUUGCGUUGCGACAAACUACUGCGAAAGCAUUUGCCAAGGAUGUUUUCAUUGA
rnacentral:rRNA from 1 species